rnacentral:sRNA from 1 species
AGGCUAUAACGCCAUAGCCUGGGUACAAUGAAGUAAUAUAUAUUGCUGUGUGUAGUCUUUGCCUGUCAGCCCAUGAUAGGCUUUUUUUUAU